UUUCAGUUGACUUUUGAACGUUGACGAAGACGGACGUACUUUCGUGAGCUCUGACUAUUGAUGAAAAGUUUUGAGUUUUACUGACUUGUACUUUGAGAGUAAAAUUGACUUCGCGUUAUAGAAUAGCGACUUGGUACUCAGGUUGUUGAAUGACUGGAUGACUGAAGUGUUAGGUUAUUGUUAUGAGAUAACAACUUGACUUUGACUUGAGUUGUGAAAUGAAAUCAUACUCUUAUGCGAUGUUAACUUUUGAACGUUUAGUAUUGACUGACAACGAACUUUUGUGAGCGUUAUAUAUGAAAUGUUUGACUUACAUUAAUUUUUUUGAACGACUUGACUUCACUUUAAGUUUUGACAUCGGACUGAUCGGACGUGUUUUUUUAAGCCCUGACUGUUGUGAAUAAUUAAAUUUAUGUUGUGGUGUCAAGCGAUUGACUGUCAGUUGAGGUUCAGAUGUCGAGCUGUGCGGACGUGUUCAUCGAGCUGCUGUCUACAAAAAACGUGAGUACAAAUUUUUUUCGUUUUACUGUUUACAAGUUGCGUGAUGAUGUAUGAUGGUUGUAAUGUGUUGGGUAGAAAUUACUCAGUGCUGAUACAGUGUCGAUAUGUUGUGAUGAGCGAUAAUAGUGGAUGAUGGUGGAACAGAAUAUUCAUUGAGCUAUUUUGAGGAAGCGAACAUAUGAUGGAAAAAUGUUGCAAAAAUAUUAAAUGACAAUGUAUUGAAUCGCUUUUGUUGAUAUGUAUGAUAUUGAUUAAAUUGUAUUUGCAUGCUGUAACAUUUCUAUUCCAUUUCAGGGGGCUGUGGUGAGUAUUGUAGUAUAAAUUUGUUUCAAUAAAUCAUGAUGAAUGAAAACUGAUUUUGAUUCGUUUUGUACAGGUUUACUUGUAUAGAAGUGUAAUGCGUUGGGUAGAAAUUAGAAUCUACUCAGUACUGAUAUAGUGUCGAUAUGUUGUGAUUAGCGAUGAUGGUGUAUGAUGGUGGAACAGAACAUGAGCUACUUUGGGGAAACGAACAUAUGAUUGAAAAAAAUUUGCAAACAUAGUAGAUAAAUGAUAUGAUAUUGCUUAAAUUGUAUUUGCAUGCUGUAACAUUUCUAUUUCAUUUCAGGGUGCUGUGGUGAGUACUGUAGAUUGUAGUGCAUAUGUAUAGAAUUCAAUAAACGAUGAUGAAUGAAAACUGAUUUCGAUUCGUUUUGUGUAAUUUUAGGUAUUUUCACUCUAUCACAACUCUGUCGGUUGGUGUUCAUGAGUGUGAGACUAAUACAGCAAUGUUUGAGUAGUACAAAAAUGUUUUCGCUUUUGUGGUCGCCAGCUGUCCGUGAUCUGUAAAGUGAAAAUACACAGAGCUAUGAAGCAUACAGAUGUUUCGAAAUUUUAUCAAUGAUUGUAUACUAUGCAUGUUUUGAUUUAGUUCGUUUCAGAUUUGACAUGAGAUGAAAACCUGACAUGAUUUGAACAGAGCUGGGAAAUGAAAAGGUAAGUCUGUUUCAUUCCACUAUGAACACUUGUAUUUUGACAAAAGAAGAGAUAAAGUGAGUUACUUUAUCAUCAUGGUUUCAUUUGGUGUAUAACACAUGAACAGAGGUAAACCUAGCUAGCUUUUCGUGUACUCUAUUUUGGAUGAUGAGUAUGUCAGUAACUUUAAUUGUACGGCUAGUAAAGUAUGAACAUGAAUGCUUUGUUCAGAUUUUCAGAUGUGUGCUGGCAGUUGAAGUCUGGCAGCCGGAGUGAACAGUCGUGAUUUCUGGAGCUCCAACAAUAUGCUAGAAGGUAAGUAACUAUGUUUGUUUUGCAUUGCAUGUUUUCAUAUGUUUCAGACUUUCGAGCAGAGAUGUCAUGCUGACUGGAGUUGAGCACAGGGCAGUGACAAAGUGAAAGGUAAGUACUUUUGACUGAAUGUUUGUUCUAUGCAUGUUUUGUUUUAAUUCAUUUCAGGAGUGCUUAUCCAGUGAUGAUAUGACAGUUGGAGUGAACAGUGGAGCCAAGCAGUCUUGUUUUUGGAGCUACUCAACAAGCCUUGAAGAUGCUGAUGGCAGUGAUGGGUUUUCAAGCUGACCUGAACAGAAAAGCACUCAUAUGGUAAGUACAAAAUAGUUGUUAUAUGGGAUGUUUUGUGCAUGCUUUUAUGUUUCAGGUGUACUUGCUGACAGCGACGAAGACGAAUCAAGAAGAGGAACAUUGUUGAGAAAGUGAUUGGGACUUGCAAACAGGGUAAGUCACUAAGUGUAGCAAUUGUGUUUGUUUGAUUUUUACCAUGCAUACUUUGCUUUGCUCUGUUUCAGAUUUCACAUGCAGAAAUUAAACAGGAUUUCAACUGCUGAGACACAAUUCAUCAAAAGUAAGGUAAGUUUUAAUUCAUUGAUUUGAGUUGUACAAUGUGUUCUUUACUUUAUUUCAGAUUCGAGUCACUGGUUUACACAUGGAAGAAGAUUUCCACGUCUGUUACUCAACUCUACAGAAGCAAGAUGUUUUGUUUCAGUUGAUGUCCAGAUGGCAAGCAGUACAGACGUGUUUCUUGGAGCUGCCAAACAGGAGCUGUGGUGAGUAUUGUAGUAUACAUUUGUUUCAAUAAUGUUUGAGUAGUACAAAAAUGUCUUUACUUUUGUGAUCGCCAGUUGUCUGUGAUAUGUAACGUAAACAAAAAACACAGCUAUGAAGCAUACAAUUGUUUCGAAAUUUUAUCAAUGAUUGUAUACUAUGCAUGUUUUGAUUUAGUUCGUUUCAGAUAUGACAUGACAUGAAGAGUUGACAGUCGAACAGAGCUGAGCAACGCAAAAAGGUAAGUGUGUUUCAUUUUAGUAUGAACACUUGUAUUUUGUUUUUAUAUGGUAUGUUUUGUACAUGCUAUGUUUCAGGUGUACUUGUAGUCAGCGACGAAGACGAUUCAAGAAGAGGAACAUUGCUGAGAAAGUGAAUGGGACUUGCAAACAGGGUAAGUGUUACAAUUGUUUGUUUGAUUUUUACCAUGCAUACUUUGCUUUGCUCUGUUUCAGAUUUCACAUGCAGAAAUGGUCUCAUAGCAGUGCCAACAGUGAAUAAGGAUUUCAACUGCUGUGAAACAACUCAACAGAAAGUAGGUAAGCAUUGAAUGAAUGCACUUGAGUUGUACAAUUUGAUGUGAUGCUUUUUUUCUGUUUCAGAUUCAAGUUUCUGGUGUAGACAGAAAAUGUGUUUGAAGAAGGAAUUCUACUACUGUGAUUCAACUCUACAGAAGCAAGGUAAGUAGAAACAAAAUUUUGGUUUAAUUUAACUCAUGUGUUUUGCACUGCAUGCUAUUUUUCAGGUCUCUCAUGCAGUGAGGGAAAAGAAGAAGAUUUCAAGAAAAAAUCACUGCUGCAACUCAGGCCGAUAACAAGGUAAGCGUUUACUAUAUUGUAUACAAAAUGUUUUUCUGUUUUACUCUGUUUCAGGUUUCAAUUGCAGAGAUGUUGCAGAGAUGUUUUGACAGCUUGUGACAGAAAAGAAAUUCAGCAGCUGUGUCUCGACUCUAGCCACGAGGUAAGUCAAAACAAAUAUACUGGUUUGUAUGUAAUGUUGUUAUGCCCUUCUAUGUUUCAGACUUACAUUGCUGUGACUGUUCGACAGUGGGUCAAAAAAGAGACGAAUACAGGUUUCAAGAAGAAAAUUGGCUGUUAAAACUCUGCACAAAAUAUGAGGUAAGUAAACAACUCUUUUGGUUUGUUUUGUGCCUUGUUAUGCUUAACUAUUUUUCAGAUUGAAAUGGUGGGUCGUUACAGAGCAGACUUUUGGACUACUGAGAAGUUGAGAAACAGAGAAUGAUUCAAGAUCAGCUAGGUAAGUCUUGAUUAUUAUGCAUUGCUAAAUGUUUUUUUCAUUCCAGUAUGGCUGUGGUUAGUACACUAACUUUCUAUAAUUUCAUAUUGAACUGUUUUGAUGACUUGUAUACUGCUAUGCAAAAUGUCUGUUUUUCACUUCAGUAUCCUGUGGUAAGUACACUAACUUUCUAUAUUUUCAUAUUGAACUGUUUUGAUGACCUGUAUUUUGCAUUGUAAAAUGUGUUUCUUUUUUAUUUCAGCAUGGCUGUGGUAAGUACACUAACUUUCUAUAUUUUCAUAUUGAACUGUUUUGAUGACUUGUAUACUACUAUGCAAUGCUUAAUGUUUUUUUCAUUUCAGUAUGGCUGUGGUAAGUACAAUUGCCUUUUUUAUUUUUCAUAUUGAACUGUUUUGAUGAUUUGUAUACUACUAUGCAAUGCCUAAUGUUUUUUUCAUUUCAGUAGCCUGUUGGUAAGUACAAUUGCCUUUUUUAUUUUUCAUAUUGAACUGUUUUGAUGAUUUGUAUACUACUAUGCAAUGCCUAAUGUUUUUUUCAUUUCAGUAGCCUGUUGGUAAGUACACUAACUUUCUAUAAUUUCAUAGUGAACUGUUUUGAUGACUUGUAUACUGCUAUGCAAAAUGUCUGUUUUUCAUUUCAGUAGCCUGUGGUAAGUACACUAACUUUCUAUAAAUUCAUAUUGAACUGUUUUGAUGAUUUGUAUACUGCUAUGCAUUGCUAAAUGUUUUUUUCAUUUCAGUAUAGCUGUGGUAAGUACACUAACUUUCUUUAAUUUUCAUAUUGAACUGUUUUGAUGACUUGUAUUCUGCUAUACAAAAUGUGCUUUUUUCAAUUUCAGGUCAGCAAUGGUAAGUAUAGUGUGUUUCUUUAUGUAUAAUUUUGUAUACAUAUUGUUUUUUUUUCAUCAUAUCAUGUCUUUUAUAUUUAUGCUUUGUGUAAGUAAAAUGUUCAUAAAUCAUUCUUAUCUUCAAACUAAAAAUGUAUUGUGCUAUGCAAAAUGUCUGUAUGAUUUCAGUUGCCAGAGGUGAGUACCAUUACAGUUGAAAAGUUAGUUUUGUUUAGUUAAAGUUUUGGUUCACAGUUCUGUUUAUUAUUUGGCAAAAUUUACAUGUAUGCAUUGAGUCUUGAUUUCAGCUCGAUUGUGGACUGAAGAAGAUUGCCCGCAGAGGGAUUGGAUACAAAAUACAAACCCUACUACAAGACGAGUGUUUUCUACUACUAGACGUGUCAUGUUUACUUCCAGGCGAGCAGUGACAACAAGGCGCCUUUGUGGAAACAGCAAAACAAACAACUCUACUGCAAGACGAGCAGUAACAGCAAGGCGCCUGAACAUGCAACACAAUACAAAAAAUGCCAAUUUGCAAACCUUGAUGUGGACACCGAGUAGUCAAUACAUACGUGUGGCGUAUAGCUGCGACAAAACCGUGGGUCCAUCGCACCGAUAACUUGAACAUUGGCCCGUGUAUGGACAUCAGUGCAACUUUGUGAAUCCAUGUAACUUUGUGAAUCCAUGUAACAUUGCGAAUGUGUGUCGAUCGAAAAAUGUGUACAUUCUGCACUGAAACGAACUCGGUGUUGCAAGUGGCAAGUGUUGACAGUGUGUAUGUUUAUGUUUAUGUUUUUACAUGAAAAAUAAAGGAGAUUGUUCUCCUACCUUUUUUUUCCUUGUUUUAUUGUGCUGGCCAGCAAUAUUGAUGUAUUGAUGUAUGUGUUUGUGUUUAAACUAUGCAAUACCAAAAUCAAACAAAAAAUAAACAUUAACAGUCAUUAACUGU